UACAGAGGGGGCAAGCGUUUGUUCGGAAUCACUGGGCGUAAAGCGCACGUAGGCGGAUGUGUCAGUCAGGGGUGAAAUCCCGGGGCUCAACCUCGGAACUGCCUUUGAUACAGCACGUCUUGAGUCCGAUAGAGGUGGGUGGAAUUCCUAGUGUAGAGGUGAAAUUCGUAGAUAUUAGGAAGAACACCGGUGGCGAAGGCGGCCCACUGGAUCGGUACUGACGCUGAGGUGCGAAAGCGUGGGGAGCAAACAGG
rnacentral:rRNA from 1 species